UUCCCAUUAGGUCCCAUACUACUCCUUCUGGCCCAAGACAAAGCAAAGCCAUUUUCACAAAAACAAAAUCUACUAUUCUUCCUGCGAUAGCCUCGCCUCGCCUCGCAAUUCCUGCAAUUCCCUCACCCGUCUCAGAUUCUCUCUCCUCCGCCGCGUGCCGUCCCCUCCGCCGCCGCAAGAUCUCUGCAGCGUUUCCGCGGGAUUUCUCUAGGGUUUUCUGAUCGUUCCUCUCCUUCUCCCACGACGUCGUUUUUCAAUUGCGGUCACUCUGUGUAGCGUCCACGAGCCGCCAUGGCUCCCGGGCGUCGACGCGGAGCGAACAAGGCGAAGGCCAAUGGCCACUUGAGUUUGGGCGAUCUUGUGCUCGCUAAGGUCAAGGGCUUCCCCGCUUGGCCUGCUAAGAUAAGCAGGCCUGAAGAUUGGGAGAAAGUCCCUGAUCCGAAGAAAUAUUUUGUUCAAUUCUUUGGUACAAAAGAAAUAGCUUUUGUUGCCCCAGCAGAUAUUCAGGCAUUUACCGGUGAGGCUAAAAAUAAGUUGUCUGCUCGUCUUCAAGGCAAGACAAAGUACUUUGCCCAAGCUGUGAAGGAAAUAUCUGCAGCAUUUGAUGUGAUGCAGAAACAGAAGGCUAGUGGUUUGGCAGAUGACACCGAUGAUUCUCAUAUUGGUUCAGAGGCUCCUUCUAAUGAUGGGGUAGUAGGUAACCAAAAGGAUGCUGCUGAUGCUGUGGUAUCAAAUAUAGAAAAAAAUAAUAUUGAUAUGGAUAAUGUUUGCUCUAAUUUGGAGCACUAUACACAGAGAAUAGGAGAAAAUGACAGCCAAGAUGAAAAGCUCUCUGUAUCUAACCAUCCAAAUGAAAGUUCUUCUGUUUCAUCACCCAUGAUAAAAAACAAAUUAGCCAUUGGUUCAGAGACAAAGAAGAAUGCUAACAAAUCUAGUUUUAAAGGUGCUAGUAAUGUUAAUGAUUUUGGCCAAGAUGAUAAUGGGCAUAGUGAUUUAACCAAUGGAACUAAGCCAAGAAAGCUUGAUAAUGGCUCAAGGAAAAAAAGUGAAGCUGCAGGUGGUAGUAAUAGAAAUGGUGGAUCAUCUACUGGAAAAUUUAUGAAGGAGGGAAAUUGUACUGGCCGUGGUGAUCUUUCUAGGUCUGGAGAGACAUUGAAAGCUGGGAAGAAAAGGAAAAAUACAUUUUCUGUUAAAUUAGAUUCUCCGGAUACUCUUAAAUCAAGCGAUAAUGGUACUACUGGGGAAAAAGAUAGCAACCUGAUGAAAGUGAAAACAAGUCAUGAGGUAAAAAAUGAGCUGCAGGAGAUCUCAUUUGAUUCUGAGGAUGCUGAUGGUAAAAGUUCUAGUAUGAGGAAGAAGACCCAACUUCAUGCAAAGCAUAAUGUAGGAGGAGCAAAUGAAUCUUUACAUGCUACCAAGAAGUUGAAGCGUAUGGAUGCCAAAGAUGAUUCAACUUUAGGGUAUACUUCAAAGGUUCUGAAAAGAGCUUCGCCUGGCUCUACUGUUAUUGAAGACAAACCAUUUAAAAAAUUAGAAUCUAAGAAGUCUACACCAAAUUUGAAAACAGAAAAAAGCUUGCCAUCAAGGAGUCAAACUGGGGGUGCAGGUUCUGAUGAUUUUGUCCAUGAGUUGCUACCUGGAACUAAACAUCAUAGCCAGGUUCAGCAAAUUAUGCCUGAUUCUGCCGGCAUUGCUUCUGAUGAAAAGAACGAAAGAAGUUCUCUUAGACCAAAAGGUGAUACAAAUAAUGUUGUGAUAAAACAACUAGAGAGGAAACGUAGAGCUGUUUGCCUUUUUGAUGACGAUGACGACGAUGAACCUAAAACUCCUGUUCACGGAGGAGCUGCAAAAAAUAUGAAAUCGUCUUCUGUUUCAGAGUUCAAGAAGAGCAACAAUGUACACUCAGAGAAGUCUGAUGUUGUUCAGAUGGCUCAAAAAAAUUCUAGUGAACUUGAGGACACCCAUCUGAAAGAGCCAUCUUCUCAAUUACAUGAUGACCAUUUGUCUAUUCAGCAGCCCCUAAAAGAGAAAGAUGACGAAGUAAUUCCUGUGCAUGUUCCUCACAGUCCUGAAAAAUUAGAUUCGAAGCAGUUUCCCUCCAAUGUAGCAAAAUUAAGCUCUGUCUCUCCACUAAAAUCACCUCUGUUGGUACCUGCAACUAAGUCAAAUGCUGAGCGGAAUAAAGCUUCGAAACUGUCGCUUAAAAUUUCCAGUAAUGCUACUCAAAAGAGAGCAGAUCACGGGCCUUCAAAGUCUUCACAUAACCUUAGCUCUUCUCAGAAUCAAGUUGUGACUCAUAAAAAGAAGCUUGCAUUGUCUGCAGAAAUUUUUAAAACUACUCCGGAAACAUUGCCUCAGGCAGUUGAAGUUUUUGCUUCAACAGUUGGUUCUAAGGUUCCUGAUGCUCUACAUGUUGAUAGAUUGGAGGUGGGCACAGAAGAGAAAAAUAGUAUAUAUACUGGUUCUGGGACUCCUGAAUCUGCUAAAACUAUGAAGCAUCUUAUUGCGGCUGCCCUGGCGAAAAGGAAACAAGCUCAUUCGCAAUGUCUUCCUUCUGGCUUUCCCAAUGUUCAGGAUGGGACUCCUAGCCCCUCCGCAGUUCAGCCAUAUCUGCCUGUCUCGAGCAAUUUUGUGCAGGCAGAUAUACAGGGAGUUUAUGAGCACACAACAUUGGCUUCUCCACCAACUAAAGAGCUUCACUCUUCUUCUCGUAAUCAACUUGAUGCUGAUGACAUUGAGGAGAGGAGAGUUGGUUCAGUGCAAAGGGGUCUAGGAGGCUCGCUGAGUGGUGGUACUGAGGCUGCUGUUGCUCGUGAAGCUUUUGAAGGAAUGAUUGAAACAUUGUCAAGGACCAAGGAAAGCAUUGGCCGUGCAACUCGUCUUGCCAUUGAUUGUGCCAAGUAUGGCAUUGCCAACGAGGUUGUUGAACUUCUCAUCCGAAAGCUGGAAACUGAAACUAGUUUUCAUCGCAAAGUAGAUUUGUUUUUUCUUGUUGAUUCCAUCACCCAGUGCUCACAUAAUCAAAAAGGCAUUGCAGGAGCCUCCUACAUUCCUACUGUUCAGGCAGCGUUGCCACGUCUUCUUGGUGCUGCUGCUCCCCCUGGAGCAAGUGCCCGUGAAAAUCGUCGUCAGUGUCUCAAGGUUUUGAGGCUGUGGCUUGAGAGGAAAAUUUUUCCUGAAUCAGUUCUUCGCCAUUACAUGGAUGAUAUUGGAGUUUCAAAUGAUGAUAUGACAGUUAGCUUUUCUCUCAGACGUCCAUCUCGAGCAGAGCGAUCUGUGGACGACCCAAUUAGAGAAAUGGAAGGCAUGCUUGUUGAUGAGUAUGGAAGUAAUGCUACAUUUCAGCUGCCUGGGUUUUUAUCUUCACAUGCAUUUGAAGAAGAUGAAGAUGAAUAUGAAGAUGCUAUACCAAUCAAUUCGUGUAAGGAAACAUGUGAUGCGUCUCCAGCAGAUCCCCCACAUACCCUUGGAGAAUCAGAAACUUCUACUGUUACCCCAAAUGACAAGCGCCAUUGUAUCUUAAAGGAUGUGGAUGGUGAGCUGGAGAUGGAAGAUGUUUCAGGUCACCCAAAGGAUGAAAGACCCAUAUUUUUUGACAGUUAUGAUGAAAUUGAUUUGCAACAUCAGGACUCAGAUAGGAAUUUAGAUCCAACUUCAAACAUUUCAGAAGAGAUGUCAGCUACUCCAGAGGGUUCUCCUCCUAUGCCACUUGAUUCACCUCCCCCACCCCCACCUUUGCCUUCAUCACCUCCGCCACCUCCUCCUCCAUUAUCUCCAUCUCCCCCCCCACCUCCCCCACCCCCAAUGUUGCAACCCCCGCUUCCUCCUUUACCACCUUCAGCCCCUCAGGUGUCAUUGGUUCCUCAAUCGUCUGGACCAGCUCGGCCACUUCUCUCCCAGUCAUUAAUGCCACCUCAGUCAUCACAUCAGUCUUCCCCACAGUUGGGUUAUCAGCAGAGUGUACCUCAUGACUUUAGUGGCACUACUAAUUCAUCUGUGCAGGGUAACCAAAUAGUUCCAAUGGUUGGGAAUUCUUUUCCCGGAGGUCACAAUAAUGCAGUUGUCAAGAAUGAAGUAUUUCCACAGCCAACUGCUUAUGCUCCAACCGCAGGCUGCAGCUCCCAGGAACCUUCUGGUUUUAACCCUUCAAGGCAAUUAGAAUACGGACAGAAUGACAUGUACCUAAAUGCUCAAGUUCCUCAACCUAACCAUCAAUUUCAGCAGGGUAAUCCCCCAUUUGCUCAGAGGCACGCACAUCCUGCCCCACCCCAAAAUCCACCAAAUCUAUACUCAUAUUCAAAUCCUACAGUUCAGCAGCAUCUUCCACAUUCAUUCCAUCCUCCCUUCCCUUUACCAUCCCUUCCAGAUGGCCGAAGACAAUUUGUUGCUGAUGAGCAAUGGAGAGUGUCAUCAAGUGAAUUUAAAACAAACAAUCAACAUGGUGUAUGGAGAGGGAGAAAUCCUUCUUCAUGUCCUGGUCCACCCUAUGGGCAAGAAGGCCAUUUUCGGCCGUCACUUGAAAGGCCGCCAGUAAGCACUGUAGGUUUUCAGCGACCAAUUUCAGGCAACCUACCUGUUGCUCCAAUAGCAGGACAUGGUGUACCUCAGAUGAUGCCCUGUAGGCCAGACAUUCCUGCUGUUAAUAGUUGGAGACCCACUUGAAGUUGAUUUGAGUCUUCUUAUUAGUAGUAGUGGUGUUGCUGGUGGAUCAACAUGCAAGGUUAAAUUGUGUCUCAAAGUUAGAUUCGCCUGUGUAGUACAUACAACUUACCCGUGAAGAAAAUUUUGAAAACUUGUGGAGGCUUUUGACAGGAAUGUGUAUAUUGUAAUUUUUCCUGACAAUGUAUCCCAGGAACAUUUGCUUCCAAGUUUAGGCCCAUGUUUUUGACUUGGUUUUGGCAAAGCCAAAGAAGAUGAUGAUCAUUUUCUCAUGUUUUGAAUGUGAUAACUGAACACAAGAUUACAGUCCAACAUACAAAGACUGCUGAUUAUUGAGGGAUGUAGAUUCGAAAUUAGCAUGUGUAAGGCUCACUUUCGGUCAUUAUUUUGAAAGCCUCUACAGAAAAUGCAUGUCCAACGGGAUGGUCUGAAAUUCGUACCACAGAAAAGAGGACCAAUGGAUGAAUAAUGGAAUAACAACUAUCAAGUUUAGACUCAACAUUGUUGAGAGGGUUUACUAUUUAGGUAGGUUUUAUUUGUAUCUGCAAAAUCUUCAAAGAUGAAGCAAACCAAAUUUGCGGAACAAAUGUGUAUAUGGGAGCUAGGACUCCUUAACAAGGAGUGGUGGACCUUAUGACAAAAAGUGUACGGUAAAAUUUAUCCACGUUUAAAUUUCUGAAUAGUUUGUACACACAAGGGUGCGGUAAGGAUUUUUUUUUUUUAUACAUCAGAAAGGAAAAUCAACAGCAAAACCGACUAUCCAGAGUAUUUAUUUUAAUGGUUUAAUUACUCA